rnacentral:rRNA from 1 species
CAACGGAUCUCUUGGUUCUGGCAUCGAUGAAGAACGCAGCGAAAUGCGAUAAGUAGUGUGAAUUGCAGAAUUCAGUGAAUCAUCGAAUCUUUGAACGCACAUUGCGCCCUUUGGUAUUCCAAAGGGCAUGCCUGUUCGAGCGUCAUUU